rnacentral:sRNA from 1 species
UAUUUGCGUGAGGGAUAAAAGUGGAAAUCCUCCCGAUUUUUCUUCGGGAGAUUGCAGCGGAUAGCCCGACCCGAU